rnacentral:lncRNA from 1 species
AGCCGCUCAUAACUCCUUACCGGGGCAUCAGGCUUCUCCUCCGCACAUGCCCGAACCACCUCAACCUCGCUUCUCGCAUCUUCUCAUCCACCGGGGCCGCCCCCACCUUCUCUCGAAUAACUUCAUUUUUAAUCUUAUCUAACCUAGUGAGCCCGCACAUCCACCUGAACAUCCUCAUCUCCGCAACCUUCAUCCUCUGAACAUGAGAGUUCUUCACUGGCCAGCACUCUGCCC